AGUUUAAGGUGGUAGGCUGAGAUCUUAGGUAAAUCCGGGAUCUUAAGGCCGAGAGCUGAUGACGAGCUAACUUUUAGUUAGCGAAGUGGUUGAUGCCAUGCUUCCAAGAAAAGCUUCUAAGCUUCAGGUAACCAGGAACCGUACCCCAAACCGACACAGGUGGUUGGGUAGAGAAUACCAAGGCGCUUGAGAGAACUCGGGUGAAGGAACUAGGCAAAAUGGCACCGUAACUUCGGGAGAAGGUGCGCCGGUGAGGGUGAAGGACUUGCUCCGUAAGCUCAUGCCGGUCGAAGAUACCAGGCCGCUGCGACUGUUUAUUAAAAACACAGCACUCUGCAAACACGAAAGUGGACGUAUAGGGUGUGACGCCUGCCCGGUGCCGGAAGGUUAAUUGAUGGGGUUAGCUAACGCGAAUCUCUUGAUCGAAGCCCCGGU
rnacentral:rRNA from 1 species